CUAGAUUAAUUAUUGGUGAUGCUUAUUUUUAUGGUUGUCUAAUAUUUAGUUAUUAUGUCUUAUUUCAGGUACAUCAUGACAAACACUAGAGGUAAAACCAAAGGCGCUAUCCUCAUCUCUAAAAGGCGAAAGACAUUGGGUGCAACCUCAUCUUUAGCCCCAUCUACAAUCACAAGACAUUCAUGUCUCCAAUUUCCUCCAGUCCACACGAGGGCCAGUAUUGUGAGACACUUGGGUUUGGGUCGUUGUAUCGACUAGGAGGCUUUGUAGACAAUCCAUUUAGUUGACAGAGUUCGAGCUCUGAUCAAUACGGCUCCGUGUGACCUAUUUUUCACUAUCGUGGAACCUACAUAUACAGAACUCACACUGGGGGUUAUGUUUGACAUUCUUUUUGCAGUAGGCUAUGUCACGGUGGGAUGAGUCAUGCACUAUCUCUUUUGGACUCGGGGGUACGACACAUAAUCUGAACGUCCUGCACUUUGAAUCCGCUUUUAGAUUUUUUUCUGAGGAGUUUAUGAGUACCCAGAGUUCCCGACCUUAUCUAUGCACAUCCACAGACCGAAUCCACUCUUUUGGUUCAAAAUCACAGAGACUACGACACAGUACAAGCCAAGGUAGUCUAAGGCGACUUGUCUACCUUUGGUCCUACGUUAUAUUCAUGCCAAUCUGGCACGCACAUUGACUGGUUGAAGGGAGAGCACAGGGGUUGUUGGCACGUCUAACGUUUAUUUCUUGUGGAGUUUGGAGGCACGCCACCACAUUGAUGUUGCCUAUUUCGUGGCUCUCAGUUGUCACCACCAGUCUAAUCGGAGUAGGAAGGGCCUUAUCUGUAUGGGUCCUUACAUGACACAGUUAGUGAGAUACUUCAGGAUUAUUAGUUCUCCAGAGUAGACUUCCUUAUUCACAUUGACUGGAUAGAUGAUCCCGUAGAGAUUAUAUAUUAUGAGCCAUAUAAGGAUGAUUCAGCUUCAACACAGAGUAUGUCCUUAUCGAUAUACAUUGUCGCAUUUGGAUCCUCAGGAUGAGCACAAUGAGCUUUCGGAUGAUGAUCUUCCUCUACAUGUAGACUCGACUCGAUCCUCUCCUCCUUCGAGACACUCCACCGUUGCCCAUUCUGUUACACUCGACGACAUUUUUAAGCAGAUUGAUCGCUUUGACUAGCGACAUUCUGAUCGGAUUGACUGUCUUGAGUAGCGGUAGACAAAGUAGAUAGAUCGCCUCAAGCAAUAACACAUGGAGCAAUUCUGCCAUAUUCAAUGACAUCAGGAUCUCUUCGAGGCAUACCUGCAACAAAUGUACUAGCAUUUUCACAUUUCUGCACCAGUUUCCCCCACUACGCCUCGCAAUUCUGACUUACCACCUGUCGCCGAUCAUUGAUUUACUUUAGUUUUCUAUUUUAGUUAUUUUUUUAGUUGUGAUUUAUUUAUUGUUAGUUGUUUUAUUUUAUUUUUGAGACUUAUAUGUUUUGUUUUUCGUUUAUCAUGCACUAUUAUUUUUAUUAUUUUUUCGGUUGUUUUUUUCUAGUUUGUUAUCUCUUUAUCUUAUUUAUUUUUGUCUAUUUUCUUAUUAGUUUGCUCGGAAACAUGUACUUCAUUUAUAAUCGCCUAAGAUUUCAGUUUUCACUAUUUCAACGAAUUCAUCCAGAUUCAAGGGGCAAUUUCAGUUUUCUCCCUCCCUUUUGAUAUUGUGCUUAUUUUAUUUAUAUCUUCUUUUACAUUGAUGGCAAUGUACAUCUUAAGUCUGGAGAGGAUGUUUAUAUGCUUAUG
rnacentral:lncRNA from 1 species